GCUGUGCUAGCCCUCCAGUUACAACGCCGGGCUGGGCCAGGUUUGGAGACGGGAACUGAGAACAGGGAGUGUCAUCCUCCUAUGCUGUGGGAAUUUGAUGAGAAUCAUCUUCUCGGUGCAAGGUCCAAUAAUUCUCACUUCUGGGUAAACUGGAAAUAUUCCCAACUUCUCAGCAUCUCCUUGCAUGACAUCUUGAGCUCCAAGCAACAAAGGGCAAGCUUCCAAAUAUGAACGCAGGGCAGCAAACAGAAUUGUAGGCAAGCAAGGAAAACAAAGACAACAUAACAGUUUGAGGAAACUGAAGAUUGAGAAGUACUGACUUUAUUUGGGAAAUCUAAAGCCAGCUGGUACAUGAGGGUGAAGCUCACGAGUCGUUAAGUUGUGGCCCCUGGGGUCCUGUUCGGCUGCCACUGCCCCCAGUUUCUAGACUCCCCCUUCCUUCUCCAGUUGCCACUGCCUGCCUCCCCCCCAGGGGGGCAAGGCAACAAAAUGAGCAGCUAAGGGAGCUGAGGCUAAGUACGAGGCCAUGCAAGGGAGCCAGUGUCUGUGUGCUGCAACAGUGGUGGUAGGGUGCCCUCCAGGGCAUGUGCUGCACCUGGGUGGGGAGGGUUUGAAUUGUGCUUGCCUGCUCAUGUGCUACAGCAGGGGGUGGGGUGCCUAGUACAGCAAUGACAGGGAAGGGUGCCCUCAUGGCUGUACUUUGCAGUACUGGGUGGGAGAAAAUGUCUAUGCGGCCCAAUAACCUGUGGCUUGACUGGUAGCAUAUAACCCCUGCUGGUGUGCCCCCAGCACUUAGAAGUUGUUCAGCCCUUGUAUAACGUGUACAUGAAAUCAGUGUUUAAGCAGAGGUCACAUUUAUUUUCCAUACUAACUGCCAAAUCCAUUAGUGUUUCUAUCCCACGUUAGGCCUAAUAUAUCAUUACGUAGCUUCUUCAGUGCUUGUUUAUCAGACACCCUAUUGUUUUAUGUUGAGAGGCAAUGGGCCAAUUUUUUUCAUCACGCUGCAGGAAACCAGGAUUAAUUCCAGAACAGAGUUUUUCUGGAUAUAUAUUACUGCGAGAACAUCAUUCCAUCCUUUGUUUUCAGUUAAAGAACUAGAUAAUUGUUUUACACAAUGUACAGCUAGAGUUAUAUUAGAUAUAAAUAUAUAAUGAAGACUACCCAACUGUUCUAUUUUUUCUCAAAGGUAGAAAUAAAUGGGGCAAAUGAGUUCAGAUUCUCUCUUUCUCUUUUUUUUCUUUAAAUAGCUUUACUCAAGUGACCUGAUCAUUUGAAAAGCUAUAUAAUAAAAUGCCAAAAAAGGUCAUUUUUGACUUUUUCCUAUCAGGCAGAGCUAUUAACCCUUAUAUGAGGUCCCUACUGAAGGGUGCUUCCUUUUUCCUUGCUGUUUAGAAAAUACAGCAGUGGAUCUCAAGUGCACAGCUGCACAAGACAGUACUAGGAGUUGGGCGUGUUCUGGGAGGGAAAUCAUAGAAAAAUGUCACAAUUUCCAAAUCUUUUCUCUGUUCUAGAACAGAGCUAUAACAAAACAGUUUCAAAAUUUCCUAAGAAACAUAAUUAAAAAUAAAUGAUGUAGGUCAAUAAAAAUAUUUUUAUCUUGUUGGA